GACGAACGCUGGCGGCAGGCUUAACACAUGCAAGUCGAACGCAUCGCAAGAUGAGUGGCAGACGGGUGAGUAACGCGUGGGAACAUACCCUUUUCUACGGAAUAGCUCUGGGAAACUGGAAUUAAUACCGUAUACGCCCUACGGGGGAAAGAUUUAUCGGGGAAGGAUUGGCCCGCGUUGGAUUAGCUAGUUGGUGGGGUAAAGGCCUACCAAGGCGACGAUCCAUAGCUGGUCUGAGAGGAUGAUCAGCCACAUUGGGACUGAGACACGGCCCAAACUCCUACGGGAGGCAGCAGUGGGGAAUAUUGGACAAUGGGCGCAAGCCUGAUCCAGCCAUGCCGCGUGAGUGAUGAAGGCCUUAGGGUUGUAAGGCUCUUUCACCGAUGAAGAUAAUGACGGUAGUCGGAGAAGAAGCCCCGGCUAACUUCGUGCCAGCCGCCGCAGUAAGAC
rnacentral:rRNA from 1 species